rnacentral:rRNA from 1 species
GUGUCAGCCGCCGCGGUAAUACGGAGGGGGUUAGCGUUGUUCGGAAUUACUGGGCGUAAAGCGCGCGUAGGCGGAUUGGAAAGUUGGGGGUGAAAUCCCGGGGCUCAACCCCGGAACUGCCUCCAAAACUUCCAGUCUGGAGUUCGAGAGAGGUGAGUGGAAUUCCGAGUGUAGAGGUGAAAUUCGUAGAUAUUCGGAGGAACACCAGUGGCGAAGGCGGCUCACUGGCUCGAUACUGACGCUGAGGUGCGAAAGUGUGGGGAGCAAACAGGAUUAGAUACCCUGGUAGUCCACACCGUAAACGAUGAAUGCCAGUCGUCGGCAAGCAUGCUUGUCGGUGACACACCUAACGGAUUAAGCAUUCCGCCUGGGGAGUACGGCCGCAAGGUUAAAACUCAAAUGAAUUGACGGGG